GACGAACGCUGGCGCCGUGCUUAACAUAUGCAAGUCGAACGGAAAGGCGCUGCUUGUAGGGUACUCGAGUGGCGAACGGGUGUGUAACACGGGGGCGAUCUGCCCUGCACUUCGGGUUACGCCUGGGCAAAUGGGGCUAAUACCGCAGAGGAGCCCUAUUCAGAGCGACGGGUGGAAAGUUUUUUUCGGUGUAGGAUGAGCUCGAGGCCUAUCAGCUUGUUGUUGGGGUAAUGGCCUACCAAGGCGAGGACGGGUAGCCGGCCUGAGAGGGUGGACGGCCCCAUUGGGACUGAGAUACGGCCCAGACUCCUACUGGAGGCAGCCGGGGUGGAUAUUGCACGACGGGCGCCAGCCUGAUGCAGCGGCGCCGCGUGGGGGAUGACAGCCUUCGGGUUGGGAGCUCCUUUCGCUAGGGACGAAGCUUUUUGUGACGGUACCUAGAUAAGAAGCACCGGCUAGCUACGUG
rnacentral:rRNA from 1 species